UACGAAGGGGGCUAGCGUUGCUCGGAAUCACUGGGCGUAAAGCGCACGUAGGCGGCUUUCUAAGUCAGGGGUGAAAUCCUGGAGCUCAACUCCAGAACUGCCCUUGAUACUGGAGAGCUUGAGUUCGGGAGAGGUGAGUGGAACUGCGAGUGUAGAGGUGAAAUUCGUAGAUAUUCGCAAGAACACCAGUGGCGAAGGCGGCUCACUGGCCCGAUACUGACGCUGAGGUGCGAAAGCGUGGGGAGCGAACAGG
rnacentral:rRNA from 1 species